GUAGGGAAUAUUGGGCAAUGGUCGGAAGACUGACCCAGCCAUGCCGCGUGCAGGAAGACGGCCCUCUGGGUUGUAAACUGCUUUUAUCUGGGAAGAAAAAGGCCAUGCGUGGCAAAUUGCCGGUACCAGAUGAAUAAGCACCGGCUAACUCCGUGCCAGCAGCCGCGGUAAUACGGAGGGUGCGAGCGUUGUCCGGAUUUAUUGGGUUUAAAGGGUGCGUAGGCGGCUGAUUAAGUCAGCGGUGAAAGACUUCGGCUUAACCGGAGCAGUGCCGUUGAUACUGGUUGGAUUGAGUGUCGGAGGGGUACAUGGAAUUGAUGGUGUAGCGGUGAAAUGCAUAGAUACCAUCAGGAACACCGAUAGCGAAGGCAUUGUACUGGCCGACAACUGACGCUGAUGCACGAAAGUGUGGGGAUCGAACAGGAUUAGAUACCCCAGUAGUCC
rnacentral:rRNA from 1 species